CCCUUAGAUGUUCUGGGCCGCACGCGCGCUACACUGACGAUGGCAACGAGUUUUUCCUUCGCCGAAAGGUGUGGGUAAUCUUUUGAAACAUCGUCGUGCUGGGGAUAGAUCAUUGCAAUUUUUGAUCUUGAACGAGGAAUUCCUAGUAAGCGCGAGUCAUCAGCUCGCGUUGAUUACGUCCCUGCCCUUUGUACACACCGCCCGUCGCUCCUACCGAUUGAGUGGUCCGGUGAGGCUUUGGGAUCUGAGCGGAAAGAGCGUUUCGCUGUUUCUGCUCGGAAAACUCAGUCGAACCUUAUCAUUUAGAGGAAGGAGAAGUCGUAACA
rnacentral:rRNA from 1 species